rnacentral:lncRNA from 1 species
GGCUGGGUUUUGAUUGUUUCAUUUCUCCCUUAUCUUCAUCUUUUCUAGUUCCACAUGAUUUUCUUUUGGAUUGACAGAAGAUAACUACCAGGAAAUUUCAUGAGCCCCAUUUGACUACUAUACAAUUGAAGAGCCAUGUCAGUCGAAUCGUUCAAGAAUUUCUUUCCUGAUGGUGAUAACGGUGGUGAUGAUGAUAGUGGCUACUCCUCAUGGCCAGACUCUGCUGUGAUGUAGUGAUGGUCCCUGCAGAUGAAGAAGUGCAGCUGAAAUAACUUCCACAAGUGCUUCAACUGGAUGGAUGUUGUGCUGGGGGAGAGAAAGAG